GACGAACGCUGGCGGCGUGCUUAACACAUGCAAGUCGAGCGGUAAGGCCCUUUCGGGGGUACACGAGCGGCGAACGGGUGAGUAACACGUGGGUGACCUGCCUCUAGCUCUGGGAUAAGCCUGGGAAGCUGGGUCUAAUACCGGAUAUGACCUCGCGGUGCAUGUUGCGGGGUGGAAAGCCUUGUGCGGCUAGGGAUGGGCCCGCGGCCUAUCAGCUUGUUGGUGGGGUGAUGGCCUACCAAGGCGACGACGGGUAGCCGGCCUGAGAGGGCGACCGGCCACACUGGGACUGAGACACGGCCCAGACUCCUACGGGAGGCAGCAGUGGGGAAUCUUGCGCAAUGGGCGAAAGCCUGACGCAGCGACGCCGCGUGAGGGAUGACGGCCUC
rnacentral:rRNA from 1 species